rnacentral:rRNA from 1 species
AGAUACGACACCUACUGGAUCGGCGGGGUGUCGAAAGUGUUUGUCGGUUGGGAUGGACUCGCGGCCUAUCAGCUAUGUUGGUGGAGGUAACGGCCUACCCAAGGCGACGGACGGUGUCCGUGAGAGGGCGACCGGCCACACUGGGACUGAGACACGGCCCAGACUCCUACGGGAGGCAGCAGUGGGGAAUAUUGCGCAAUGGGCGAAAGCCUGACGCAGCGACGCCGCGUGGGGGAUGACGGACCUAUCGAGGUUGUAAACCUCUUUCAGCAGCGGACGACAGUUGCACCUGCAGCAAGAGCGCCGGCUAACUACGUGCCAGGCAGCUUCGCGGGUAAUACCGUAGAGGCGCAAGCGUUGAUGGGCGCUAAAGAGGCUCGUUAGGUUGGCUUGUCACGUCGGGUGUGAAAGCUUGGGGCUUAACUCCAGGUCUGCAUUCGAUGGCUAAGAGGAUAGGCUAGGGGAGAAGCGGAACUUCUACUGGUGUAGCGGUGAAAUGCGCAGGAUCAUACAGGGAGUGAAGCACACGGUCGGCAGAAGAUGCGGCACUUACCUGAGCGAAAGCGUGGGGAGCGAACAGGAGUUAGAUGACCUCUGAACGGUAGUCCACGCUGUAAACGUUGGGCGCUAGGUGUGGGACCUUCCAACGGUUUCCGCGCGUAGCUAACGCAUUGAAGCUGCCCGGCCUUGGGAGUACGGCCGCAAGGCUAACUCAAAGGAAUUGACGCGCCCGCACAAGCGGCGGAGCAUGUUGCUUAAUUCGACGCAACGCGCACGCAACCUUACCAAGACUUGCACAUCCGCCCGAAACACUCAGAGAUGGGUGCCUCUUCGGACUGGUGACAGGUGGUGCAUAAACGCUGAGGCUGUCGUCAGCUCGUGUCGUGAGAUGUUGGGUUAAGUCCCGCAACGAGCGCAACCCUUGUUCAAUGUUGCCAGCACGCUCCCUUGUGGGGUGGUGGAGAUCGGGACUCAUUGGAGACUGCCGGGGUCAACUCGGAGGAAGGUGGGGAUGACGUCAAGUCAUUGCCCCUUAUGUCUUGGGCUGCAAACAUGCUACAAUGGCCGGUACAGAGGGUUGCGAUACCGUAAGGUGGAGCGAAUCCCCGGUCAUCAGCUUCGGAUCUGGGGGUCUGUCAAGCUCGCACCCCAUGAAGUCGGAGUCGCUAGUAAUCGCAGAGC